rnacentral:rRNA from 1 species
GACGUAGGGCGCGAGCGUUGUCCGGAUUUAUUGGGCGUAAAGAGCUCGUAGGCGGUUUGUUGCGUCGGCUGUGAAAACCUGAGGCUCAACCUCAGGCCUGCAGUCGAUACGAGCAGACUAGAGUGUUGCAGGGGAGACUGGAAUUCCUGGUGUAGCGGUGAAAUGCGCAGAUAUCAGGAGGAACACCGGUGGCGAAGGCGGGUCUCUGGGCAGUAACUGACGCUGAGGAGCGAAAGCGUGGGGAGCGAACAGG